rnacentral:pre_miRNA from 1 species
AGGAGAAACAAUCACAGUGGUGGGGCCAGCUCUGGAGCCCUGGAUUCAGCUCCCACAGUAACUUUGGAGCUCUCCGUCCGCAGGGCCUGGAUGCUCCGGGGCAGG